rnacentral:rRNA from 1 species
AAUCUUGCGCAAUGGCCGAAAGGCUGACGCAGCGACGCCGCGUGUGGGAGGACGCCCUUCGGGGUGUAAACCACUGUUGCCCGGGACGAACAUCCACUUUCGAGUGGACUGACGGUACCGGGUGAGGAAGCACCGGCUAACUCCGUGCCCGCAGCCGCGGUAAUACGGAGGGUGCGAGCGUUGUCCGGAAUCACUGGGCGUAAAGGGCGCGUAGGCGGCGCAAGUAGUCAACGGUGAAAGCCCGGGGCUCAACCCCGGGUCGGCCGUCGAUACUCUUGUGCUGGAGCACUGUAGAGGCAGGUGGAAUUCCGGGUGUAGCGGUGGAAUGCGUAGAGAUCCGGAAGAACACCGGUGGCGAAGGCGGCCUGCUGGGCAGUAGCUGACGCUGAGGCGCGACAGCGUGGGGAGCAAAC